rnacentral:rRNA from 1 species
UACGAAGGGGGCUAGCGUUGCUCGGAAUCACUGGGCGUAAAGCGCACGUAGGCGGAUUGCUAAGUCAGGGGUGAAAUCCUGGAGCUCAACUCCAGAACUGCCUUUGAUACUGGCGACCUUGAGUCCGGGAGAGGUGAGUGGAACUGCGAGUGUAGAGGUGAAAUUCGUAGAUAUCUGGAGGAAUACCGGUGGCGAAGGCGGCAUCCUGGACCGGCAUUGACGCUGAGGAGCGAAAGCCAGGGGAGCAAACGGG